rnacentral:rRNA from 1 species
UGGGGAAUUUUGGACAAUGGGCGAAAGCCUGAUCCAGCAAUGCCGCGUGUGUGAAGAAGGCCUUCGGGUUGUAAAGCACUUUUGUCCGGAAAGAAAUCCUUGGCUCUAAUACAGUCGGGGGAUGACGGUACCGGAAGAAUAAGCACCGGCUAACUACGUGCCAGCAGCCGCGGUAAUACGUAGGGUGCAAGCGUUAAUCGGAAUUACUGGGCGUAAGCGUGCGCAGGCGGUUUGCUAAGACCGAUGUGAAAUCCCGGGCUCAACCUGGGAACUGCAUUGGUGACUGGCAGGCUAGAGUAUGGCAGAGGGGGGUAGAAUUCCACGUGUAGCAGUGAAAUGCGUAGAGAUGUGGAGGAAUACCGAUGGCGAAGGCAGCCCCCUGGGCCAAUACUGACGCUCAUGCACGAAAGCGUGGGGAGCAAACAGGAUUAGAUACCCUGGUAGUCCACGCCCUAAACGAUGUCAACUAGUUGUUGGGGAUUCAUUUCCUUAGUAACGUAGCUAACGCGUGAAGUUGACCGCCUGGGGAGUACGGUCGCAAGAUUAAACUCAAUGAAUUGACGGGGUCAUAGCUGUUUCCU